rnacentral:lncRNA from 1 species
UUUGAUCUUCUAAAAAAUGGAAAAUGAACCAUUGCAUAUCUUUCAUAUUUUUCAGUCAUACACGUUAUGCUUGAUAUGUUCUUUUGAAAAUAAUGCCAAAUCUGAUAAAGAUACUUCUAUCUUUGGAUAUCAUUCAUCAAGCAAUGCAUAUAGAAUAUUCAAUGAAAAGAUCCUAGUUGUAGAAAUAUCAAUUCAUUUUAUUCUUUAUGAGACUAAUGA